rnacentral:rRNA from 1 species
UACCAGCACCCCGAGUGGUCGGGACGAUUAUUGGGCCUAAAGCAUCCGUAGCCGGUUCUACAAGUCUUCCGUUAAAUCCACCUGCUUAACAGAUGGGCUGCGGAGGAUACUAUAGAGCUAGGAGGCGGGAGAGGCAAGCGGUACUUAGUGGGUAGGGGUAAAAUCCGUUGAUCCAUUGAAGACCACCAGUGGCGAAGGCGGCUUGCCAGAACGCACUCGACGGUGUGGGAUGAAAGCUGGGGGAGCAAACGGG